UGGUUUUCUUUCCUGUAAGUACCAUCUCUGUAUUGGAAUGAUUAGAACAGAAGCGAGACAACCUGCAAAUGUUAAGGAAAGACUGGAAGACAAUGAUGGACAAUUUCAAGAGAAGUCAUGUGGAAGAAAGGAAAGUCUUCGUUCAUUUUCUAGAGAAGCUUGGACAAAAACCAAGGGUGGAAGCUAUGAAGACUUAGCUUUUGGCUGCAGACAACUGCUCUAGAACACCAUAAGUCAUUCUUUGCAAAAGCUGAAAUACUAUUCACUAGAAGCAACACAAUGCACAGAUGCAGAAUUGCUGUGUACGGUGGUGGCGGUCAAGGAGCCUGAUUCCUGUCUUACUGUAUACCAAUAACAUGAAGAAUAUGUGUGGAACACUUAAGGAUGACUGACUGCAGGAGACGAGAGUAAAUACCAUGAGUGUUUACUGCUCCAACAAUUCUCGAAUGGAUCUGGACCACAUUUAACUGGGAUCACAGCAGUUGUUCCUUUGGAGUGGCCUGGUGAUGAUUACAACAGAAGCAUUCCUUGGGCCCACACUUGAUAGACACACAUAUGGUUUGAUCAUUGCAGAUGGCUAACAACUCUCCUUCAGACACGGUGAUGUGGUGUUUUAAGAGUAAAACUAUCUAAAAUCAGAAUUAUGUCCCUGUGGAAAUAAUAAAGCAUUUAUUCAGAAAAGGAAA